UACGUAGGGCGCAAGCGUUAUCCGGAAUUAUUGGGCGUAAAGAGCUCGUAGGCGGUGUGUCGCGUCGGCCGUGAAAACCUGGGGCUUAACUCUGGGCGUGCGGUCGAUACGGGCAUCACUGGAGUUCGGCAGGGGAGACUGGAAUUCCUGGUGUAGCGGUGAAAUGCGCAGAUAUCAGGAGGAACACCGGUGGCGAAGGCGGGUCUCUGGGCCGAUACUGACGCUGAGGAGCGAAAGCGUGGGGAGCGAACAGG
rnacentral:rRNA from 1 species